rnacentral:rRNA from 1 species
UGACAUGGCGCAGGGAGGUAGUGACAAGAAAUAACAAUACGGGGCUCCACGCCUUGUAAUUGGAAUGAUGGGAACCUAAUCCCCUUCCAGAGUAUCAAUUGGAGGGCAAGUCUGGUGCCAGCAGCCGCGGUAAUUCCAGCUCCAAUAGCGUAUAUUAAAAUUGUUGCAGUUAAAAAGCUCGUAGUUGAAUUUCUGCCGCAUCGCGGCGGCCCUCCCGGGCCCAGCGUUGCGGUUUAUUUCGGACUCGCUUGCGUCUCCGAAUGUUUACUUUGAGAAAAUUAGAGUGCUCAAAGCAGGCCCUUGCCUUGAAUACUUUAGCAUGGAAUAAUAAAGUAGGACUUUGGUUCUAUUUUGUUGGUUUAGCGCCAAAGUAAUGGGUAAUAGGAACAGUUGGCGGCAUUCGUAUUUAACUGUCAGAGGUGAAAUUCUAAGAUCUUAGA